UGGAAGCAAUUUCAAAAGGAGGAACCAAGCCUUCAGAGACCAAGCCUGCAGGGACUGUCAGAGGCUUCUCCUCUGAAGCCUAAAAGAAUGGAAGCCCAUUGCUGGAAAGUGCCAAAUGGAAAAAAUGGCCAGGAAAGAGAGAGAG